rnacentral:rRNA from 1 species
UGAACGCUGGCGGCGUGCCUAAUACAUGCAAGUCGAGCGAACGGACGAGAAGCUUGCUUCUCUGAUGUUAGCGGCGGACGGGUGAGUAACACGUGGAUAACCUACCUUUAAGACUGGGAUAACUUCGGGAAACCGGAGCUAAUACCGGAUAAUAUUUUGAACCGCAUGGUUCAAAAGUGAAAGACGGUCUUGCUGUCACUUAUAGAUGGAUCCGCGCUGCAUUAGCUAGUUGGUAAGGUAACGGCUUACCAAGGCAACGAUGCAUAGCCGACCUGAGAGGGUGAUCGGCCACACUGGAACUGAGACACGGUCCAGACUCCUACGGGAGGCAGCAGUAGGGAAUCUUCCGCAAUGGGCGAAAGCCUGACGGAGCAACGCCGCGUGAGUGAUGAAGGUCUUCGGAUCGUAAAACUCUGUUAUUAGGGAAGAACAUAUGUGUAAGUAACUGUGCACAUCUUGACGGUACCUAAUCAGAAAGCCACGGCUAACUACGUG